CACUACUCAACUCCUUUUUACAUUUAAGUGCCAUGUCGGUGCAUCUAAUUGACUUUGUGCUUGAUGCAGACACGACAGGAAAGACAAGGUCAUUCCCUCCAUAGAUCCUGCAGUCCACUGGACGUUCAUGAUUCUCUAAUGCACAAAAUGGGAACACUGGACCAGAGCACUGAAAUUCAGAUUCCAUCAAACUUGCAAUCAAAUUCUUGAACUCUCAAGAGUUCAUAGCAGAGAUGAUCGAUUAAAGUGGCUCCCAGUCUUUGUU